rnacentral:rRNA from 1 species
AAUCAACGCUGGCGGCGCGCCUAACACAUGCAAGUCGAACGAGAAAGUGGAGCAAUCCAUGAGUAAAGUGGCGUACGGGUGAGUAACACGUGGAUAACCCGCCCUUUAAGUGGGGAAUACCGAUGGGAAACCGUCGACAAUACCGCAUAAUCUCGAGAGAGGAAAGCAGCAAUGCGCUGAAGGAGGGGUCCGCGGUCGAU